rnacentral:misc_RNA from 1 species
GUUGUCAAACUUCAAAUUCUUGUUGAUUCUGACAUUCCAUCACAUUUGUUUUAGUCUGACGAAUAUAGUCAAUGUACUAGAGCCGAAUAAUAAUCAUGCCAUCUGAAGCUGAAGUUGAGACAAUGCCAGUUGCCCAGGAGGCUGCCCCUCCUGCUGAGGCUCCCACUAAGGCUGCUGAGCCUGCUAAGGCUGCAGACCCAGCACCAAAGGUCGCAGAUGGAUCGGGAACCGAGUCUGAUAGUGAUGAUUCUAUGCCAGACUUGGAGCAGGAUCCAGCCGCUGCAGCUGUCCAAAGCCAGGUAGCUGCUGCUGCAGGAAUCACAGAGGAGAUGGUAAGCAAGGCAAAACAGAGCAGAAGUGAGAAGAAAAGUAGAAAGGCUAUGUCCAAACUUGGACUUAAACAAGUGACAGGUGUGAGCAGAGUAACAAUCAGAAAAUCAAAGAACAUUUUAUUUGUCAUCAGCCGACCAGAUGUAUUCAAAAGUCCCGCCUCUGAUACCUACAUAGUAUUUGGAGAAGCCAAGAUUGAAGACCUGGCCCAACAAGCACAGAUGGCUGCAGCUGAAAAAUUCAAAACCCCCGACGCAGCACCUGCUAUGGGUGAUGUGCAAAGCAUGGUGACACAACCCAUCGCAGAAGAAUCUGAUGAGGAAGAGAUUGAUGAGGGUGGUGUGGAAGGAAAGGACAUUGAACUUGUCAUGUCGCAAGCGAACGUCUCGCGUGGAAAAGCAGUAAAAGCCCUCAAAAAUAACGAUAAUGAUAUAGUAAAUGCAAUAAUGGAGUUAACGAUGUGAUCUUGAUGGACUGAUUGAUAUCUCAUUUGUAUUCUGUUUUGUUUUUACUUGAUUUUCUAUGAACAAUGCUAAUAUAUGUACCAUAUCUCCCAAGCCAUGAAUAAAAAAUUGCAAAAAUAUAUACCAAAAGAAUGUACUUUUAGUUCAGUGAUUAUGCCAUUAUGUUUGAGAUCUGUUGAUGUGUUGAGAUCAUUGGCAUUGUUGGUAAUAUGAAGACCUGCCAUCUAUAUUAUUUUAACAUAUCUGAAGAAUUCCCACGUGUUCAUCAUUUUCAUGACUAGUAGAAAAUCAACUUAUUUGGAGUCAUAAAAGCUAAGAAUCUGUUCUUUUGCCAUAUAGGAUAGAUAUUACAUAUUAAGCAGAACCAGGACCCAAUUUGGGGGAUUUCUAAACCAAUUGUGACUUCAUCCUAGAACACAUGUCACUUCAUAAUAUUAACUUCAUAUAAAAUAUUUGUAGAUAAAACAAUAUGAUCAAGGAUUUGGAUGGAGUAGAUCUUUGCAGUUGCAAAUCACUAAGGAUUGACAAAACAUUCUGAUGCAUUAGUCUCUUGAAUCUUUUGAUACAAAAGUGUUCCUGACCACUACAUGUAUAUUCUUGGGUACAGGAGGAAUAAAUUAUCGCUUUGGAAAAAAAA